rnacentral:rRNA from 1 species
AUGAAACCUGAUUGGUUCAUUUUCUCCAAGCUUGAUCAUAACGGAGGAUACCUGCACAAGUUUCCACUAGGCUCUCCAAUCCCGCAUGACAUCGGGUUAGGAUUGAUAUCACAAGUUGGGGCUUUAGUCGAGAGUUCCUUUCAGCAUCCGCGGCAUGCAUGCUCUACAGGAAGUGGUGCAGUUCAGGAAGCAUUCAGCUGCUUCAACAAGGUUGCUGGAGCUUUCUAUUUCUGCCUUUCUAGAGCAUCGAAUCCCAAGAUUUUACACAGGUUGUCCGCUAUUGCGGGCUCUGGUUCAAGAGCCUGUCGGGCACAAAUAAAGCAAGUGACCUCUUGCAUGCAGCACUUGGCUGGAUUGCAAGUCAGAGAAGAGCAUGCUAUACAAAUGCUCUUAGCCAAGCUUGCAAACGCAACGCUUGGGCGAGCGUGGAAUGAGGUUGAGGAGCGUCAUGCCUGUAACAUUCUUAUGCUAGCUGCCGCUAGUGUAAUACCACCAUUUGAAAACAUAUCGCCAAAGAUGCUUGCGGACUCAAUGAUGUUGGGAAAAGAUGGUGACCAAAUCAGAGAACAUGUUGAUCAGCCUUAUUUGGACGAAAGGCGCCCAGGUUGUGCUCGUGUUGCUGUGCCAAGAACAAUAUUGCCGGAAGAUCUGACAGAACCAAGAACUGGGAUCAAGUUCCCUACUCUUCUUGAGGAGAAUUCCAAUCCAACCGCAGAGGUGCUUGUCGGGAUGGGUUACAGAAGUAUGCGGAUAAUGAAGGUCAAAAACCUGAAUCUUUAUGCCUUUGGAUUAUAUAUACAACCAGAUUCUAUCUGCAACAAGCUGGGUUCAAAGUAUGCUACUGUUCCAGUUGCCGAGCUGAAGGAUCACCCGGAUUUCUAUGAAGAUCUUCUGAGGGAAAAUAUUCAUAUGACAGUCAGACUGGUAGUUAGCUACAAUGGGCUUAGCAUUAGUGCAGUGCGAGAUGCGUUUGAGAAAUCUCUUGGCUUUCGACUGCAAAAGAUGAAUCCUAAUACUGAUUACCAUUGCCUGAAGACAUUUGGUUCUUACUUCAGGGAAGACAUUCGAAUACCUGUGGGUACAAAGAUCGACUUCCGUCAAACAUGUGAUGGCCAGCUUAUAACUGAAGUUGAUGGCAAACAAAUUGGUGCUGUCCAGAGCAAAGAUCUUUGCAGGGCUUUCUUCGAUAUGUAUAUUGGUGACCCACCUGUUUCAGUGGAGACCAAACAAGACAUCGCCCAGAAUGUGGGUGGGCUCAUUAGAAGAUGCUAG